AAACAUUUUUGUGAGAAAUACAUUUUUAAUAUAACCUGCUCCAUGCAUAAGUAAAUAGCUGCAGUAUCUUGACUGUACAAAGGUAGCAUAAUCAUUAGCUUUUUAAUUGAGGGCUAGAAUGAACGGUUGAACGUGGAAUAAUCUUUUUUUUAUUAUUUUAAUUUUAUUUUUGAGUAAUAAAGCUUAAAUGAAUUAGAGGGACGAGAAGACCCUAUAGAAUUUUAAAGAAUUGAAUAAAUUUUUUGGUUGGGGUGACAGAACUAAAUAUUUUUUUUUUUCAUUUAUAAAUGGUUAAAUGAUCCUAAAAUUAGAUAGCAAGAUUAAAUUACCUUAGGGAUAACAGCAUAAUUUUUCUUUUAAGAUCAUAUUUAUAGAAAAGAUUAUGACCUCGAUGUUGAAUUAAAAUUAUAAUUAGGUGUAGAUAUUUAAUUG
rnacentral:rRNA from 1 species